rnacentral:rRNA from 1 species
UCUUUCCGGAAUUGAGUGGCAAACGGGUGAGUAACACGUAAACAACCUGCCUUCAGGAUGGGGACAACAGACGGAAACGACUGCUAAUACCGAAUACGCUCAUGAUGAACGUUGUGAGGAAAGGUGGCCUCUGCUUGCAAGCUAUCGCAUAGAGAUGAGUCCGCGUCCCAUUAGCUCGUUGGUGGGGUAACGGCCUACCAAGGCAACGAUGGGUAGCCGAUCUGAGAGGAUGAUCGGCCACACUGGAACUGAAACACGGUCCAGACUCC